CGAUGCUCCAUUGGGUUACCAUUAGCAACAUAACAAAACAGACAGCAGAGAAACAUCAACAAGGAAGAGGAAUUGCACGCUUGCUCAUUCUUUCUCACUAAGUCUGAGACAGUCAUGGUUCACUCUCUUGACAGCUGUUUGACAUUACGGGUAAUGCUGCGUUCAGUGGACGGAGAGGGACUGUGAAUUCCUGGAGGAAGACUCAGGAGUUGGGACAGUGCAUGCAGAGACUAGGUUUGAUGGCCCCCGUGUUCCCUUCUGAUGCAGCAGAGGAGAGAGAUGUCCUCUGCUCCAGACGAUAAACUCCACCCUGGCGCUCUACUGAAGUUCAUCAUCACAGGAGGACUUGCCAUCUGGACGGGCGCUGAGACCUAAGAGAAUAAACGAAUACGCCCCUGCCAAAAUAAAUACCACACACACAUGGUCUCGGGCUGCUUUGAGAUGAAUAUGCUGGAGCCGAGGUGCCACUACAACAAGGGCAGGGCAUCAGGGCACCGAAAGCUGGAGAGUCAACAAAGCACAUGAAACAUUUAGAGUCUGAUUUCCCCAACACCCUCACAAAGCAUUACCUUUGACAGCCUAGAAAGAAAGCAAGUGGGAUGCAUUAGCGACGGAAAACUGAGCGGCUUGUUCAUAAUUCAAUAAAAUGGAUGGAUUUGAUUAUUCUCUUCCAAAAAAUGAGGUAAAAGCAAGUUUUUCUUUGAGCUAAGGAUUAAUCACACUGUCAGAAGUUCUUAUUCCUUGCCGACAUGUCAUGCAGCUCAUUUCUGCCUCAGUGUGAAAAAAUAAAAAGGUAGCUAUGGCCCUAAUUUAUUUCUCAUUAUUGGGAUUUUUUUAAACUGCCAAUUUAUAUCUCAUAUUUAUUUAUCAUAAUUGCGACUUUUUCUUAGAAUUGCGACUUCAUAUGUCACGUUUACGAGUUCACACUUACAAAUAAUCGGAUAGAGUAAUGAGAAUGAGUAUUUGGCAUGCUGUCUGAGCUCGGUAUUUUGGCCCAAACCCAGAGUACUCCACCCCUAUCCCUAGAUGGGAUCGGAAACCAGCCAAGAAUGAAGAGUCAGGGUGGCGGAGGGAUGCAAAAAACUGUCGAAGAACAUAGUGGCAGAAAUGGUAUUCCAUACAAACCACCUUUGUGUGCAGCAAGUGAAACUCAAGGAUACAAUGCCUAGAUGGAUAUAUCCCACACAAAUCCAUGUCUGGCUUCUCUCAGAGGCCUCGUGUCAAAAACUGUUCAUUAAUGUCAUGUAUCCCUCAGUAAUCACAUUCCAUGUGGAGAAUUCCUGUUGACACUCAAUUACCAGCUGGUACCAAAUGAACCAGCAGUACUGUACACAUUGAUAUCAACUCUAUUAAUGUUAUAAAAAAGUGGAUUGGAUACAUAUCUGCUCUUUUAUGAGCUUCAUAUGUUUAUAAUCAGAUCUCAGUGCUGCACAACAUGUUUUGUAUGGCCAAGAUCUAAAAAAUAGUUGUACUCGGCAACAUGCACGUUAUUAAAUCUAUUUCUAAUUCAAGCUUGUGUGUGUGUUCUGGUGGUUUUUGUGAAAUAUUAUCUGGUGUUUCUUCAUUAAAUUCUGAAUAUAGCUUUCACAGCGUCUACCAGGGCAUUCGCUAUAUACUUUCAAACAGAUUAUGGUUUACAGUUUCAGCUCAACCUCAAUUAGAACACUGGACAUUUGAGAGGUUUCCAUGCCAGAGUCAUCCAGCACAAUGCUAAGAAACAGCAACAUGAACUUCAGAGAGGGGCUCAAGAAUUUGGCGCCAUUUGUGGAAUUGGUGUCUGCUUGGGUCGAGGAAAGGAACAGCCCUGUGAUUACUGAGCUUAUCAAUUAUAGCACCAAGGCCGCUGAACUCCUACCCGACUCUAUGCAAUUUCUAAGAGCGUGGCGUAUUGGAUUCCAGCUGGCUGUUUUGAUUAGUAAGUGUCCAUUUUUGUGUAAAGCAAAGACUUCCUGUUGCGCAGGGGAAACAAUGGCCCUCCCAUGUCUGCCUGAACCCCGGUGGCUACUUUAAUAAAAACAUCUUUCCCAGUUGGCUUAAAAGGUGGGGGAGACGUAAUGUUUUCAGACAGUGUACAAAGACAGUCUUGUAUCACCCAAGUAUCGCUGCGUACUGUUCUGUUUCUCUCAGAUCUUCGCACCCUUGAGCAAGAUGUGUUCUUAACCCCCCACUCAGGUCGUGCACAGUGAGUCGAGUAUCUGCUAUAUUGAUCGAUUCACAUGCACACGUAAGAGGGGCCUCAGUUUUACGUCUAGGAUAGUGGACUUGUGUUCAAAAUUCUUUUCAGAAGGGAAAUGACUAUUAACAGGCAGCCUGGGGUGGGUUUGCAUUUCCUCUCUGCGUUAACACUCCAUAAAGCUGAUCCAUGAAAAAAAAAGUCACGGC